UAUUGCACAAUGGGGGAAACCCUGAUGCAGCGACGCCGCGUGAGCGAGGAAGUAUUUCGGUAUGUAAAGCUCUAUCAGCAGGGACGAAAAAAGACGGUACCUGACUAAGAAGCACCGGCUAAAUACGUGCCAGCAGCCGCGGUAAUACGUAUGGUGCAAGCGUUAUCCGGAUUUACUGGGUGUAAAGGGAGCGUAGACGGAGAGGCAAGUCUGAUGUGAAAACCCGGGGCUCAACCCCGGGACUGCAUUGGAAACUGUUUUUCUAGAGUGUCGGAGAGGCAAGUGGAAUUCCUAGUGUAGCGGUGAAAUGCGUAGAUAUUAGGAGGAACACCAGUGGCGAAGGCGGCUUGCUGGACGAUGACUGACGUUGAGGCUCGAAAGCGUGGGGAGCAAACAG
rnacentral:rRNA from 1 species